CCCUUAGAUGUUCUGGGCCGCACGCGUGCUACACUGAGUGGAUCAGCGGGUCAGGUUGCGCGAAAGCGUUUCCUAAUCUUUAAAUCCGCUCGUGAUGGGGAUUGACGGUUGCAAUUUUCUGUCAUGAACGAGGGAUACCUUGUAAGCGCGGGUCAUCAUCCCGCGCUGAAUACGUCCCUGCCCUUUGUACACACCGCCCGUCGCUCCUACCGAUUGAGUGGUCCGGUGAGGCUUUGGGAUCUGAGCGGAAAGAGCGUUUCGCUGUUUCUGCCCGGAAAACUCAGUCGAACCUUAUCAUUUAGAGGAAGGAGAAGUCGUAACA
rnacentral:rRNA from 1 species